rnacentral:rRNA from 1 species
UACCCUUGACAUGUCACUAACGAAGUAGAGAUACAUUAGGUGCCCGUAAGGGAAAGUGAACAC